AAGGCAGCGAAUCUGCCAUAAGCACACUGCUCCGGCAGUGUUUUGCAAGGCGAUUCCAGCCAUCCAAACGGUCCGGGCGACAGAAAGUGAAGCCGAAGAAGAAACGACUCCACGCCAGCUUUAAGAACAAUUGAGGUUGAGCUGUGAUGGGCGAUGAAGUGUUGUUGCUGAGUGGAGUUUUUGUCGAACUUAAAGUAGGCUCAGAAAGGGUACAUGUCUUCAUACAUGUAUCUCAGUUAUGCAUUCCGCUGUAAACACUGAUUAUUUCAGUUACGCCUUCCGUUGCAAACUCUGAUAAUAUUUUAGCCAAGCCCCUAACGAUGCCUUUUUCCUUUUAAGGAAUAUAACGCGUAUACAAGUUCUUUGAGUA